AUUGAACGCUGGCGGCAUGCCUUACACAUGCAAGUCGAACGGCAGCACGGACUUCGGUCUGGUGGCGAGUGGCGAACGGGUGCGUAAUAUAUCGGAACAUACCUUGUAGUGGGGGAUAACUAUCCGAAAGGAUAGCUAAUACCGCAUACGCUCUAAGGAGGAAAGUGGGGGAUCUUAGGACCUCAUGCUAUAAGAGUGGCCGAUAUCUGAUUAGCUAGUUGGUUAGGUAAAGGCUCACCAAGGCGACGAUCAGUAGCUGGUCUGAGAGGACGAUCAGCCACACGGGAAGUGAGACACGGUCCAGACUCCUACGGGAGACAGCAGUGGGGAAUUAUGGACAAUGGGGGCAACCCUGAUUCAGAAAUGCCGCGUGAGUGAAGAAGGCCUUCGGGUUGUAAAGCUCUUUUGUCAGGGAAGAAACGGUUGUGGCUAAUAUCCAUGGCUAAUGACGGUACCUGAAGAAUAAGCACCGGCUAACUACGUGCCAGCCGCCGCCGUAA
rnacentral:rRNA from 1 species